CUAAAAAAUAACUUUAAUGUUUUACAAUUUUAAUUUGUAUGAAAUUCAUUGAGGAGGAUGGUCCUCCCCUUCCUCCUCUGAGGAGCCUCCACUGCUUAACAUCCAACCUUAAGUCAUGAGAACCAUACACAAACAUACUGUUCAGAUAUAUCUUUAAAUCACAUUUGAUGAGUUACUGAUAUAAGGGCACAGGGCGAGACCCAGAUGGUUAGAGUCUCUGAUAUUUAUUAUAAUCCAAGGGGCAGGCAAGAGACAGGUCGUGGACAGGCAAAAUAUCAUCAACAGGGUCAGAGUCCAGGAGGUACAGAGUGGCAGGCAGGCUCGAGGUCAGGGCAGGCAGGCUCGAGGUCAGGUCAGGCGGGCUCGAGGUCAGGGCAGGCGGGUUCAGAGUCAAGGCAGGCAAGGGUCAAAAACCCGGGAGGACUAGCGAAAGAGCGAGAUAAGAAACAGCAGCAGCACGGAAGAACACGCUGGUUGACUUGACAAGACGAAGUGGCAACAGACAAACAGGGAACACAGGAAUAAAUACACCGGGGACUAAUGAGGAAAACUGGUCACACCUGGAGGUGGGUGGAGACAAUCACAAAGACAGGGUGAAACAGAUCAGGGCUGUCACAACUGACCUGUACGUCCACAGGCUCGAUCUCCUGUAGUCUUCACAACUGGACGCUCGCGUUCAGAUCCCACUGGAACAGGAUGUCUGUGUACCGGAUGGCCUGAGGGGGGACACACUCCUGUUGGACUGGAAAACAAAGAGACAUUUGGUCAGUGCUGUAGGUCUUUUUCCAAUGCUCUAUCACCAUCUUUACCUGGACAGAAAAUGCAUUAUUUAUCACAACACAAACCCACCUUGAAUAAUGUGACAAGUGGUCCCUCAACACCCAUCCUCAUGCCUCAUUGUUUGUUCUUGAGGGUUCCCUAUCUAUUAGAACACAGAGGGUUCCCUAUCUAUUAGAACACAGAGGGUUCCCUAUCUAAUAGAACACAGAGGGUUCCCUAUCUAUUAGAACACAGAG
rnacentral:lncRNA from 1 species